rnacentral:misc_RNA from 1 species
AAUCAUCAAACCCGUUCGGUUUCACCGCCGAGCGUGGUUUGGACUUGGGGGCUUGCCGCUUCGCCGCGGCUCCCCUUAAAUGAAUCGGUUUCGGGUCUCCGUGGGAGUAACCCCUUGGGCGUUGUAUAACCCUCGUCGCUGGACGGCCCGCGUGUUUGUGCCCCUCCUUGACUUGCCUUUGGAGUGGCGGUCAAUUGCUUUGUG